UACAGAGGGGGCAAGCGUUGUUCGGAAUUACUGGGCGUAAAGGGCGCGUAGGCGGCCUGUUAAGUCGAACGUGAAAUCCCUGGGCUCAACCCAGGAACUGCGUCCGAUACUGGCAGGCUUGAAUUCGGGAGAGGGAUGCGGAAUUCCUGGUGUAGCGGUGAAAUGCGCAGAUAUCAGGAGGAACACCGAUGGCGAAGGCAGGUCUCUGGGACGGUACUGACGCUGGAGACGCGAAAGCGUGGGGAGCGAACAGG
rnacentral:rRNA from 1 species